rnacentral:lncRNA from 1 species
CUGUAGUCCCAGCUGCUUGGGAGGCUGAGGCAGGAGAAUCGCUUGAACCCAGGAGGCAUAGGUUGCAGUGAGCCAAGGUCGCGCCACUGCACUCCAGCCUGGACGACGGAGUGAGACUAUGUCUCAAAAAAAAAAAAAAAAAAAGAAAAAGAAAAAAAUAUAUAUAUAUACACACACACACCCAUACAUAAAAAAACUUAAACAUUAUAGAAAAAACAUUGCACGAUAUAAAACAAGCCAUAAAAAGAAAUUCAUCCUUCAAUAAAGAAAAAUAUCUAAACGUUGAAAAACUUAAGUAUUAUGGAAAACAUUGCAAAAUAAAGCUUUUAGGAAUCCAAUUCUGUUUUUUAUUUUAGUACUGAUGAGACUUUGGGUAAGGAGGCAACAUCGUAUCCUGGAAACAAAAUGGGUUUGGGAGCCAGAUGAACAUAGACCCGGCUUCAUCACUUCUCAGAUGUGUUAUCUAAGGCCAGCACUUCCUAAACAUUUUGAUCUCAGGACUCUUCACUUUUAAAGGACGCUGAGGAGCCUUUGUUUAUGUGGGUUAUGUCUGAUGAUAUUGACUAUUCGAAAUUAAAUAGGAGAAAAUGUAAGUAAUUAUUUACUAACUUUUUUAGAAGUAACAAUAAUAAACCCAUUACGUGUUAACAAAAAUAACCCAUUGUUAUGUAAAAAGCUAUUUAAAAAAAAGGUACUGAGAAGAGUAACAUUGUUUUACACUUUUGCAAAUCUCUUUAUUCCCUGGCUUAAUAGAACACAGCUGGAUUCUCAUAUCAGUUUCUUCAUCUACUCUGUUGCAAUAUAUUGUUUUGGUUGAUGUAUAUGAAAAAAAUUCAGUCUCACACAGAUAUACAGUUGGAAUACAAGGAAGUAUUUUAAUAGCUUUUUCAGGUAAUUUUGGGAUAUAUUUUGAUUCUACAAAGGCAGAUGGCAGUUUCUUAAAAGUUAAUUGUGGUGUGGAUCUGAAAGCAUUAUCAGUGAACAUUUUUCAAAUGCUAUUACAUUAAAGUGCACUGGUUGAUUUUGUACUUUGAAUGAUUUUUUUUACUAAUGCAUGAUUUUGUGAUAUCAGGCAUUGCUCAUCUUGAAAAUAUUUAUUCGCUGAGUUAAGCAAAUAUUCCAAGUGUUGAUGCAUUUUAUUGUAUACUACCAUGAAAUCAUUUUGUUAGUGUCUUCACCAAUCUCAUCAGGAAAGUAUUGCAGUAUUGGGAAGCUGUCAAGCUCACAGUGAAAAAUAUGUUUUACAAAAUUCCAUCUCCCCCCCAAAAGCUCAUCUUAUCAUUGAUGACAAAUGUUGUCAGUUGCUUUCUUUGAAGUGAUAGAUUCACUUUCCUCAUUUUUAGGAAAGUGUUUACUAUAUAACUGUAUAUGAUGAACUAUAGUUUGUCAGUCAUUAUUUCAAAUAAAAAUGAUGUUCCAAGAAAAAAGUGUCAAGUUCAGCCUGAAACUCAGACACUCAAGGAAAUGCUUUUCUUUGCAGAAGUGCUUUAAGUGUAUUUCCCAUUUUGUCCCACAGAAUAAUAAAAUGACAUCUACAUAGAUGUCCAUAAUUAAUACAAUUAAUAACAUACUGUUUCAUUUAGAACAUUUUAAAGUCCAACUGGCUUUUUAAAAGCCCUGAAAGUUCAUGACGGUGAAAAAUACAAGAGUUUUGAAUGUAGUUUGGUGCCACUGCUUUGGUUCAUGCCAAGGUGCAAGUUGUUUUACCCAUCUUUGCUUUUACACCUUUAGUACAAGUGUGAACAUGGUAGAAAAGGAAAAUAACAUCUUAGUAUUAUUAUAAAAACAGUUUAACCCAGCAGACCCCACAGAAGAGUUUCAGGGACCAUAUUUGAGAACAGCUGUCUUAGACAAAUCAUUUAAACCCCCUGAGCUUCAGGUAAUUUAUCUGUAAAAUGGUGACAAUGGUAGUACCUACCCUGAUACUGCUAGGGUUGUCAGGAAGUUUAGGAUAAUGCUUACAAAAUAUGGACACAUUGUACUUAAUAGUACUUGAUAAAUGGUCACUAUUGUUUAUGGGCAGAAUGGAAAUAACAUGGUUCAGUGGCUUGUCUGUUGGGAAACUUGGGUUCUGAUCCCAGCUCUGACCAAUACUAAUAUGACAAUUCCUUAACACCUCUGAGAUUUUAUUUCCUCAUAUACAAAAGGAAAGAGAGGAACUGGAUGAUUAAAACAUCUUUUGCUCCUUUGAAAUUCUAGGAUUUUAAAUUCUUUUCUUUUUGUUAUAAUACCUUUUGCCUAAGUAGGAGAAAAAGGGAUUUAGCCAUGUGGUUAUGUCUCAGUGGUUCAUUUU